AUCUCUUUGAUUCUCAGAUGCCAGCUAUUAUGCAAAUGCUAACAGUGCUUAUGGUGGUGUAGCUGCCAAAGCAACCUAUUGAUUUGGAGGGCUGGGAUCAUUUUCCUUGCUGCACGUGGCACAAGUAGAGGCAAGCUCACAAGACACAAGCAGUCUCGUUUCAGAUUACUGGCACCGGAGGUUAAAGAACAGCCAUGCCUGCACCAGAAGCCCUCUGGAAGCUAAGGUUAUCCAGGGUUUCCCCAGUAUCUGUGUACCAGCAAGAAGACUUACAAGAGACAUCACAGAUUCAACAUCCCCUGACACCUAGAUCCGAUGUUCCUUCUUCCUUUUCUUUUGCCAUCAUGGAGAAGAUGAUGAACACAUUUGCACUUAUAGAGAAAUCCUGUACUGUGCAGGGGGAGUUCAGGUCUCUCUUAUGAAAUCCCCCCCCCCCUUUCUGCUUCUGAAAGCAGAAAGGAUCUUUAAGCCUGAAACCAGAAAGCAGGCUCCCAAGAAAUACCAAAGAGAAGGGGGUUCCCUAUUUCAGAAGAGCCGUCAAAGAACUUUACACCAAGCUCUGAUCUGGACCCGACUGUAAGACACACGAGUGCAGCACAUGCCAGCUAUUCUCAGCAGCACAUGGCUGGUAGGCAGGCAGAGUGUUACGUAGAGUUUCUAAAUAGACAUAAUUCCUUCUUAGGUCAAUGAGGGCUGCAGGUGCAUGGCACUUCUGCAAAUCCGGCCACCACAAUAGAGAAGGGGUGUUUCUCGAAGGCACCAAGUACAUAGGAAGCAGCCAGCUCCUGCUGACUUCUAAAGCCCUUUGCGCCUUUGAAAAUCUCUCUCUGGUGCCUAAAAUUUGUAGUUAGAAACCUAAGAUUAGUCCCUUCACUUUGAAAGCAUUCCUUACAUCUUUGCAUCAAAAAUUUCUGAUCUAAGCAAAGUGUAAUCCAGAUUAAUUUCCACAAUGCUGAUCACUGGCUCCUUUUAGCCAUGGAGCCAAACUUUGCUGAUAGUAAUGUGUCUGUCACCACUAAUUUACAAUUAUAUAACAGUAGCAUGAUUUAAAAGAUAUAAUCCUUUUAAUAGGAUACAGGAGGAUGGAAAUUAACAGUUGUCUGGCUGAGCUACCAAACUUGGCAGACAAGUUGUUUUCCUGCCUGAAGAAGCCAGUUUAUGUAGAAUUAAGACAAUUGGCUACUAUGAUCAUUCAAAUCUAAUCAUGGCUUUCUGGACCUUCUUGUAUAGAAAGGUGUGGCUCUAUACCACAUACUGUGUUUACCAGCCUGUGUAUGUACACUUAUGUACUCCUGUCAUGUGGCAGGAUAAGACUGAGCAGAAGUACGGAGCGUGGUAUUUUGUAACAGUGUGCAUGCAGGAAGGGCCUCCCUGACAGACCACACCUCUUCUCUAGGGCCUACCAAAUCAUCUGCACAAAAGAUGGCCUAUUAAAAGAACUCUGGAAGAGAAAACCAUUUCUGUUUAGAAUGAAUAAACUGGGAGCAAUGGUUAGGUAGGCUGAAACCCAAACCUGGGGGAGCUACUCCUUAUGUCCCCAAAUAAAUGUCUCAUUUCAAAGCUCUUCUCCACAUUACACAAUUUAACUUGCAGGAUGGUGAACAGGCCAAGUCCUCAAAUGAUGGAAAUGAGUAUAAUGUAGCUCUGCUGACAUCAGAUGAUAGUCCGCCCCAGCCAAGGGUGUGGCCGGCAGACUCGGCCGGGAUGUGGGACCGAAGAACAAACACUCUAGUGAAGAGCUGGUUCAUAUUUGUUUGCAGCUUCUCCUGAAGGGUUUCUGAUUAAAAUAAACUGUUUCCAUGUG